rnacentral:rRNA from 1 species
CAGGCCUAACACAUGCAAGUCGAACGGUAACAGGAAGCAGCUUGCUGCUUCGCUGACGAGUGGCGGACGGGUGAGUAAUGUCUGGGAAACUGCCUGAUGGAGGGGGAUAACUACUGGAAACGGUAGCUAAUACCGCAUAACGUCUUCGGACCAAAGAGGGGGACCUUCGGGCCUCUUGCCAUCGGAUGUGCCCAGAUGGGAUUAGCUAGUAGGUGGGGUAACGGCUCACCUAGGCGACGAUCCCUAGCUGGUCUGAGAGGAUGACCAGCCACACUGGAACUGAGACACGGUCCAGACUCCUACGGGAGGCAGCAGUGGGGAAUAUUGCACAAUGGGCGCAAGCCUGAUGCAGCCAUGCCGCGUGUAUGAAGAAGGCCUUCGGGUUGUAAAGUACUUUCAGCGGGGAGGAAGGGAGUGAGGUUAAUAACCUCAUUCAUUGACGUUACCCGCAGAAGAAGCACCGGCUAACUCCGUGCCAGCAGCCGCGGUAAU